CAAAAUUAAAUUGAAUUUUUCAGCUAAUUCUUUCCUAGCGGUUGAACUCUAAUGAGAUUCGAAGUUUGUUGGCUGCGACCUCUCCGAGCUAUUUAGCAAACAGGAGAACAAGAGAUUUUGCCUCGCCGGAGAGAUAUGGAUAGUAGAGGCAAAGACAAGAGAAGAAGGAUCGAGAAAGAUUCCGAUGAAUCCAGGAAUAAAAAGGGAAAACAAGUAGUUGCGGAGGAGGCUACGGAGGAGGAAGUCGAG
rnacentral:misc_RNA from 1 species